rnacentral:rRNA from 1 species
UACGGAGGGUGCAAGCAUUAAUCGGAUUUAUUGGGCGUAAAGGGCGCGUAGGCGGGAUAGAAAGUCAAAUGUGAAAUCCCGGAGCUCAACUCCGGAACGGCAUUUGAAACUCCUAUUCUAGAGGGUAGGCGGAGAAAACGGAAUUCCACGUGUAGCGGUGAAAUGCGUAGAUAUGUGGAAGAACACCUGUGGCGAAAGCGGUUUUCUAGCUUAUUCCUGACGCUGAGGCGCGAAAGCAAGGGGAUCAAACAGG